UACGUAGGUGGCAAGCGUUGUCCGGAAUUAUUGGGCGUAAAGCGCGCGCAGGCGGUUCCUUAAGUCUGAUGUGAAAGCCCCCCGGCUCAACCGGGGAGGGUCAUUGGAAACUGGGGAACUUGAGUACUGAAGAGGAAAGCGGAAUUCCACGUGUAGCGGUGAAAUGCGUAGAGAUGUGGAGGAACACCAGUGGCGAAGGCGCUUUCUGGUCAGUAACUGACGCUGAGGCGCGAAAGCGUGGGGAGCAAACAGG
rnacentral:rRNA from 1 species